UACGAAGGGUGCAAGCGUUUAAUCGGAAUUACUGGGCGUAAAGCGUGCGCAGGCGGCUAUGCAAGACAGAUGUGAAAAUCCCCCGGGCUCAACCUGGGAACUGCAUUUGUGACUGCAUAGCUAGAGUACGGUAGAGGGGGAUGGAAAUUCCGCGUGUAGCAGUGAAAUGCGUAGAUAUGCGGAGGAACACCGAUGGCGAAGGCAAUCCC
rnacentral:rRNA from 1 species